rnacentral:rRNA from 1 species
CUACGGGACGCUCCAGUGGGGAAUAUUGCACAAUGGGCGCAAGCCUGAUGCAGCCAUGCCGCGUGUAUGAAGAAGGCCUUCGGGUUGUAAAGUACUUUCAGCGGGGAGGAAGGGAGUAAAGUUAAUACCUUUGCUCAUUGACGUUACCCGCAGAAGAAGCACCGGCUAACUCCGUGCCAGCAGCCGCGGUAAUACGGAGGGUGCAAGCGUUAAUCGGAAUUACUGGGCGUAAAGCGCACGCAGGCGGUUUGUUAAGUCAGAUGUGAAAUCCCCGGGCUCAACCUGGGAACUGCAUCUGAUACUGGCAAGCUUGAGUCUCGUAGAGGGGGGUAGAAUUCCAGGUGUAGCGGUGAAAUGCGUAGAGAUCUGGAGGAAUUCCGGUGGCGAAGGCGGCCCCCUGGACGAAGACUGACGCUCAGGUGCGAAAGCGUGGGGAGCAAACAGGAUUAGAUACCCCAGUAGUC